rnacentral:rRNA from 1 species
CUUUGCGGAUCACGUUAUGUGACAUAUCAUUCAAGUUUCUGACCUAUCAGCUUUAGACGGUAGGGUAUUGGCCUACCGUGGCUAUGACGGGUAACGGGGAAUUAGGGUUCGAUUCCGGAGAGGGAGCCUGAGAAACGGCUACCACAUCUAAGGAAGGCAGCAGGCGCGCAAAUUACCCAAUCCUAAUACAGGGAGGUAGUGACAAGAAAUAACAAUACAGAACCUCACGGUUUUGUAAUUGGAAUGAGUUAAGUAUAAACCCCUUAACGAGUAUCAAUUGGAGGGCAAGUCUGGUGCCAGCAGCCGCGGUAAUUCCAGCUCCAAUAGCGUAUAUUAAAGUUGUUGCAGUUAAAAAGCUCGUAGUUGAUUUUCUGUUAAUUUUUAUGUAUAAUAUUGCGAUAUUUACAUAAUAUUAACAUAAUUCACAUUACUUUACAGUAUGUGGAAUUUUACUUUGAGAAAAUUAGAGUGCUUAAAGCAGGCUAUUGCCUUGAAUACUCCAGCAUGGAAUAAUAUUAAGGAUUUUUAUUCUUCUUAUUGGUUCUAGAAUAAAAAUAAUGAUUAAUAGGAACAGUUGGGGGCAUUUGUAUUUAACA